GUAACGGUGUCUUUAGACACCACCUUCUAUCUUCAAAGAUUUGUAU
rfam:Picea glauca, whole genome shotgun sequence.